rnacentral:rRNA from 1 species
GACGAACGCUGGCGGCGUGCCUAAUACAUGCAAGUCGAGCGGACGAAUCGAAAGCUUGCUUUUGAUUCGUUAGCGGCGGACGGGUGUGUAACACGUGGGCAGCCUGCCCUGUAGACGGGGAUAACACCGAGAAAUCGGUGCUAAUACCGGAUAACACGAAAUGUCGCAUGACGUUUCGUUGAAAGACGGCGCAAGCUGUCGCUACAGGAUGGGCCCGCGGCGCAUUAGCUAGUUGGUGAGGUAACGGCUCACCAAGGCGACGAUGCGUAGCCGACCUGAGAGGGUGAUCGGCCACACUGGGACUGAGACACGGCCCAGACUCCUACGGGAGGCAGCAGUAGGGAAUCUUCCGCAAUGGACGAAAGUCUGACGGAGCAACGCCGCGUGAGCGAAGAAGGCCUUCGGGUCGUAAAGCUCUGUUGUUAGGGAAGAACAAGUAACGCAGUAACUGGCGUUACCGUGACGGUACCUAACGAGAAAGCCACGGCUAACUACGUG